AUUGAACGCUGGCGGCAGGCUUAACACAUGCGAGUCGAGCGGAGCGAGGGUGCUUGCACCUUAGCUUAGCGGCGGACGGGUGAGUAAUGCUUAGGAAUCUGCCUAUUAGUGGGGGACAACAUUCCGAAAGGAAUGCUAAUACCGCAUACGCCCUACGGGGGAAAGCAGGGGAUCUUCGGACCUUGCGCUAAUAGAUGAGCCUAAGUCGGAUUAGCUAGUUGGUGGGGUAAAGGCCUACCAAGGCGACGAUCUGUAGCGGGUCUGAGAGGAUGAUCCGCCACACUGGGACUGGGACACGGCCCAGACUCCUACGGGAGGCAGCAGUGGGGAAUAUUGGACAAUGGGCGGAAGCCUGAUCCAGCCAUGCCGCGUGUGUGAGGAAGGCCUUUUGGUCGUAAAGCACUUUAAGCGAGGAGGAGGCUCUUAAGGUUAAUACCCUUGAUGAGUGGACGUUACUCGCAGAAUAAGCACCGGCUAACUCUGUGCCAGCCGCCGCCGUAACAC
rnacentral:rRNA from 1 species